CUGUGGGACCACAGAAGGCAGGAUCGGUGAUGACCUCCACCAUGGCCUGGUCCCCUCUCGUCCUCAGCCUCCUCGCUCACUGCACAGGGUCCUGGGCCCAGUCUGUGCUGACUCAGCCGCCCUCCGUGUCUGGGGCCCUGGGCCAGAGGGUCACCAUCUCCUGCACUGGAAGCAGCUCCAACAUUGGGCGUGGUAAUUAUGUGAGCUGGAUCCAACAGCUCCCAGGAAAGGCCCCUAAAACUGUCAUCUAUGGUACUAGCAGUCGACCCUCGGGGGUCCCUGAUAGGUUCUCUGGCUCCACGUCUGGCAAUUCUGCCACCCUGACCAUCACUGGGCUCCAGGCUGAGGACGAGGCUGAAUAUUACUGCUCAGCGGGGGACAGCAGUCUCAAGGCUCACACAGUGCUCCAGGCUUGUGGGGAAGUGAGACAAAAACCUGCUGUUCCCCCAGCAUUGGGUCUCCCUGUGCAGCUCCCACUUCUUGUCCAAAUCAGUUGCUUCCUUUUUUUGGGCUAA